rnacentral:rRNA from 1 species
AUUGAACGCUGGCGGCAGGCCUAACACAUGCAAGUCGAGCGGGGUUUUCGGACCUAGCGGCGGACGGGUGAGUAAUGCGUAGGAAGCUGCCCGAUAGAGGGGGAUACCAGUUGGAAACGACUGUUAAUACCGCAUAAUGUCUACGGACCGAAGUGUGGGACCUUCGGGCCACAUGCUAUCGGAUGCGCCUACGUGGGAUU